rnacentral:lncRNA from 1 species
GUUAUCUUGCCACCUCCACCGUGCGCUGUGAGCACUGGCGCACACAUUCCUCUCAUGACACAGUGGAACACAGGAUGCAGAGUUUGGGAGACAUUCUGCAUGGAAUCCUGCUUUGUGUUCGUUAAGGGCGUUUGUAGGUAUGUGGGAAUGAGGGUUCCCUCUAGGUUUCACAGAUCUAAAAAAAAAAAAAAAUCAAAAGAGAAGAUAGGACUUGACCUGGGCUUGGGAGGACAGGUAUAUUGGGAGAGGAGGGGAAGGAAUCAUCCGAGAGAGGUAUGUUGAGAAAAUGCUCAGAGGAAGGAACAUAUGGCAUUUCAAUGGUCAGUAGGGAAACUAGCCAUGUGGGUCAGAGGGUUUGCCCCACCAAUGAGGGAGAGGAUGCCAGCACCCUGUCUUUCCUUCUUGUCACUCCUCUUCAACUUUGCCCAGGUGAUCUGCCGACAUCUCCAUUUUCCUAGACUGUAAGCCCUUUCCUAGCUCAGCCCUCACCUGUAUCUACAGGGCCCAGCACAGCAUUGGUACUUGAUGCACCUGUCAAUCAGAAUCUACUGGUGAUUGGUUCCAGGACACCAAAAUCCAUGGAAUGCUCAAAUCACUUGUAUAAAUGGGUAUAUUAUUUGCAUAGAACCAACAUACACUCUGCAUACUCUAAGUCAUUUCUAGGUUACUUCUAAUGCCUAACAUAGUAUAGAUACUAUGCAAACAGUUGCAAUACUAUUUUGUAAUGAUUGUAGUCACCUAGGGAAUAAAGAUAAGAAAAAACCGUGUAUGUGCUCAGUACAGAUGUAGUUCUUUGUGUGUGUGUGUGUGAGUGUUGUGGAUUGAAUCCAAGGCUCUGUGCAUACAAAAAAGCAAUUUAAUAUUGAAUUACAGGGCUGCAUCCCCAGCCCUACAAUUAUUUUUUUAAGAAUAUUUUUUGAUUCGUGGUUGGUUGAAUCUGUGGAGUGGAACCCGA